GACGAACGCUGGCGGCGUGCUUAACACAUGCAAGUCGAACGGAAAGGCCCUGCUUGCAGGGUACUCGAGUGGCGAACGGGUGAGUAACACGUGGGUGCUCUGCCCUGCACUUCGGGAUAAGCCUGGGAAACUGGGUCUACUACCGGAUAGGAGCCAUUUUUAGUGUGAUGGUUGGAAAGUUUUUUCGGUGUAGGAUGAGCUCGCGGCCUAUCAGCUUGUUGGUGGGGUAAUGGCCUACCAAGGCGGCGACGGGUAGCCGGCCUGAGAGGGUGGACGGCCACAUUGGGACUGAGAUACGGCCCAGACGCCUACGGGAGGCAGCAGUGGGGAAUAGUGCACAAUGGGCGCAAGCCUGAUGCAGCGACGCCGCGUGGGGGAUGACGGCCUUCGGGUUGUAAACGCCUUUCGCUAGGGACGAAGCUUUUUGUGACGGUACCUAGAUAAGAAGCACCGGCUAACUACGUG
rnacentral:rRNA from 1 species